AUUGAACGCUGGCGGCUGGCCUAACACAUUCCCGUCGAGCGGUCCGGCGGACGGGUGUGUAAUGCCUAGGAAUCUGCCUGGUAGUGGGCGUUAACGUCCGGUAACGGCCGCUCAUACCGCAUACUAUCAGAUGAGCCUAGGUCGGAUUAGCUAGUUGGUGGGGUAUAGGCCUACCAAGGCGACGAUCCGUAACUGGUCUGAGAGGAUGAUCAGUCACACGGGAACGGAGAAAGGGUGCAGACUCCGACGGGAGGCAGCAGUGGGGAAUAGUGGACAAGGGGGGAAAGCCGGAUGGAGACAUGCCGCGUGUGUGAAGAAGGUGUUGGGAUUGUAAAGCAGUGUAAGUUGGGAGGCGUUACGAACAGAAUAAGCAGCGGCUAACUACGUGCCAGCAGCCGCGGUAAUAC
rnacentral:rRNA from 1 species